rnacentral:rRNA from 1 species
GACGAACGCUGGCGGCGUGCUUAACACAUGCAAGUCGAACGGAAAAGCCCUGCUUUUGUGGGGUGCUCGAGUGGCGAACGGGUGAGUAACACGUGAGUAACCUGCCCUUGACUUUGGGAUAACUUCAGGAAACUGGGGCUAAUACCGGAUAGGAGCUCCUGCUGCAUGGUGGGGGUUGGAAAGUUUCGGCGGUUGGGGAUGGACUCGCGGCUUAUCAGCUUGUUGGUGGGGUAGUGGCUUACCAAGGCUUUGACGGGUAGCCGGCCUGAGAGGGUGACCGGCCACAUUGGGACUGAGAUACGGCCCAGACUCCUACGGGAGGCAGCAGUGGGGAAUAUUGCACAAUGGGCGGAAGCCUGAUGCAGCAACGCCGCGUGCGGGAUGACGGCCUUCGGGUUGUAAACCGCUUUCGCCUGUGACGAAGCGUGGGUGACGGUAAUGGGUAAAGAAGCACCGGCUAACUACGUG